UCGGUUGAAUUGGAGCUUAGACUUGGUGCUUUUUUUACCUUUUUUUUAAAAAGGUAAGUUUUUUACGUGUAAUCAGUCACUGGAAGCAUUGCAACCGAGGUGACUGCCCUGUUUGUGUGCAUAUAAUACAAGCGAAUAAGAACAGGACAAAUUCUGCGCAAGCACCCGCGAUACAACCAAAUAAUCAGCCAAAUCCCAGUCCAUCCGAGAUGAGGAGGGCUUACGAUGCUUUAGGCAUACAAUGCCCGACAACAACACCGGGAUUCCUGCCUGGCCAAGGCGUUCGUAGGGGCCUCAGAAUGCCAGCUCCCGGUAUGGACCUCCAGGGAUACUUGGCAACGUUAGAUUAGCGCAACCUCAAACACAGACUGCACCAGAAGAAUCCGUAGUCGGUGCUGUACAUGAAAUAGGACGUAGCGGCGUCGCUCUAAACGUAUCAAUUCCUUAAAAUUCCGAUCCCGGUACGGUCGGAGUAGGCGGUAAUCGGAAGGUAUCCACGACCACACUCAUAUUCGUCGCAUCGUCGCAUCGGUAGCUGCGCCCAAUGUACAGCAGUCCAUUAACAUGCAAACACUGUUCGGACAAUAUUAAUAAAUGAAUACACAUACCUA